rnacentral:rRNA from 1 species
AAUUUGUUUUAUUUUAGUUAUAUAUUUUAUUUAAAGUUUAUUUUACAUGUAAAUUUUUGUGAGAAAUCUUAUUUUUCUUAAUGAAUCUUAAGUUUUAAUUUAUUCGCAGUAAUUAAUAUUAUAAAUUAAAGAAAUUUUGAUUUAGUAAUUUUUUUUAGUAUUGGUAAAUUUUGUGCCAGCUACCGCGGUUAUACAAAUAAUACAAAUAAGAUUUAUUAGUAAUAGUUAAUUUGUUAGUAAUUUAAAAUUAAUUUAAAUUUUUUAAGUGAAAUUUUAAAUUUAAUUAAUUUUACAUUUUUUAUUUGAUGAAGCUAAAAAAUUUUAAAAAUAAACUAGGAUUAGAUACCCUAUUAUUUAAAAUAUAGUUAUAAAUACUUGAGUAGUAAUAGGUAUGAUCUUCAAACUUAAAGAAUUUGGCGGUGUUUUAGUCUAUUUAGAGGAACCUGUCCUGUAAUCGAUAAUCCACGUUGGACCUUACUAAAAUUUGUUUUCAACUUGUAUAUCGCCGUUAUCAGAAUAUCUUAAAAGAGGAAUAAUUUUCUUAACUUAAAAAUAUAAAUGAUGUCAGGUCAAGGUGCAGUUUAUAUUUUAGUAGAGAUGGGUUACAAUAAAUUUAUUUAUACGUUAAAUUGCUUGCAAUAGUGAUUUUAAGGUGGAUUUAAAAGUAAAAUAAUUUAUAAAAUUAAUUUGAUUAUAGCUCUAAAACAUGCACACAUCGCCCGUCGCUCUCAUUAUUAAAAUGAGAUAAGUCGUAACAUAGUAGAGGUAUCGGAAGAUGCCUCUAGAAUGAC